CCGACCUUAGCUCAGUUGGAAGAGCGUGAGACUGUAACGGAUACCUUCUUCGGAAUAUCUCAAUGUCGCCUGUUCGAGCCAGGCAGGUCGGA